rnacentral:misc_RNA from 1 species
GUACGAUAAUGGAGUUACCUUCUAGGCCACCGGAAUCCAUUCUUCUUGAAGACUUUGGUCAGAAGGUUGACCUCACACGGCGGAUCCGGGAGGUUCUUUUGAACUACCCGGAGGGAACCACGGUGCUCAAGGAGCUCAUACAGAAUGCCGACGACGCCGGCGCAACUAAGGUUCGCCUCUGCCUCGACCGCCGGCACCACGGCUCCGACUCCCUUUUAUCCAAUUCCUUGUCUCAGUGGCAGGGGCCGGCGCUCUUAGCCUACAACAACGCUGUUUUUACCGAGGAGGAUUUCGUCAGUAUUUCGAGAAUUGGCGGCAGUGCCAAGAACGGCCAGGCAUGGAAGACCGGCCGGUUCGGUGUUGGCUUCAAUUCAGUUUACCACUUGACAGAUUUGCCUUCGUUUGUGAGCGGCAAGUACGUGGUGUUAUUCGAUCCCCAGGGAGCUUAUCUUCCAAAUAUUUCAACGUCAAAUCCUGGAAAGAGAAUUGAUUUUGUUUCCUCGUCGGCGAUCGCCCUUUAUAAAGACCAAUUCUCGCCGUACGUUGCGUUCGGUUGCGACAUGAAAACCUCCUUCGCCGGAACUCUCUUCCGUUUUCCUCUUAGGAAUGCGCAUCAGGCUGCCACCAGCAAGCUCUCGAGGCAAGCGUAUUUCGACGACGACAUAUUGUCUAUGUUUAAUCAGCUUUUCGAAGAAGGGGUUCUUUCUCUACUGUUUCUCAAAAAUGUGCUUUCUAUAGAGAUGUACGUGUGGGAUAAGGGAGAGAAUGAGCCAAGGAAGCUUUAUUCAUGUGGUGUUUGUGUCCUAAAUGAUGAUGUUAUUUGGCAUCGGCAAGCACUUUUGAGGUUGUCGAAAAGGAGUUCUGAUGGGUUGGUGGAGGAGAGUGAGAUGGAUGGAUAUUGUGUGGACUUCUUGAGUGAGGCAUUUUGUGGUAGUGAAGUUAAGAAGAGGAUUGGUAGGUUUUAUGUAGUUCAAACUAUGGCAUCAGCAAAUAGCAGAAUUGUUUCUUUUGCUGCUAAGGCUUCUAAAGAAUAUGAUAUCAAUCUCUUACCUUGGGCUUCUGUUGCAGCAUGCAUAUCAGAUGGUUCUUCCGAUAAUGACUAUCUGAAGCUUGGUCGGGCAUUCUGUUUUCUUCCACUGCCCAUAAGAACUGGGCUGAAAGUCCAUGUCAAUGGAUACUUUGAGGUUUCUUCAAAUCGUCGUGGCAUUUGGUAUGGAGCAGACAUGGACAGAAGUGGAAAAGUUCGCUCCAUCUGGAAUAGACUUCUUUUAGAAGAUGUUGUUGCUCCUGCCUUUAGACAUUUGCUGCUUGGUGUGCAAGGGUUGCUUGGUUCAAUAGAUUCAUAUUACUCUUUAUGGCCUACUGGUUCUUUUGAAGAGCCAUGGAACAUUUUAGUUGAGCAUAUAUACAGAAAAGUUGGUUAUGCGCCUGUUUUGCAUUCAGAAUUUGAAGGUGGAAAAUGGGUGACACCAGUUGAAGCCUUCCUUCAUGAUGAGGAGUUCAAUAAAAGCAAGGAACUUGGUGAGGCCCUGCUGAAGUUAGGGAUUCCUAUUGUCCAUUUGCCCAUUGCCUUGUUUGAUAUGCUUUUGAAAUAUGCGUCUGGUUUUGAGCAAAAAGUGGUUACUCCUGAUACAGUUCGUCAUUUUCUUAGGGAAUGCAAAGUCCUUGUGACAUUGAGCAAAUCUUACAAGCUUGUAUUGUUGGAAUAUUGUCUCGAGGACUUGAUUGAUGCUGAUGUUGGUAUUCAUGCUAGCAAACUGCCACUGCUUCCUUUAGCAAAUGGUGAUUUUGGAUUAUUCUAUGAAGCUUCCAAAGGGACCUCUUAUUUCAUUUGCAAUGAGUUAGAAUACAUGUUGCUUGAACAAAUAUAUGAUAAAAUAAUUGAUCGUGAUAUUCCUCUGCACAUACUUAGCAGACUUUCUGCUAUUGCAGAGUCAUCAAAAGCAAAUAUUUCAGUUUUCAGUAUUACACAUUUCCUGACCUUCUUCCCUAGAUUUGUACCUGCUGACUGGAGAUAUAAAAGUAAGGUUUUAUGGAAUCCUGAGUCUUAUAGUAAUCACCCAACCUCAUCAUGGUUUGAGCUAUUCUGGCAAUAUCUUCAAAAUCAUUGCAACAAAUUAUCCCUUUUUGGUGAUUGGCCCAUCCUGCCAUCCACAUCUCAGCAUCUGUACAGACCUUCUAGACAGUCAAAAUUGAUCUGUGCUGAUAAACUUCCUGUUUCAAUUCAUGAUGCCCUUGUUAAGAUUGGAUGCAGGGUACUUAAUACCACUUAUGGAGUUGAACAUCCAGAUUUGUCUCUUUAUGUAUGUGAAGCUAAUUGUGCUGGUGUCUCGGAAUCAAUUUUUGAUGCUGUCUCUUCACAUGGUGGUAUAACUCAAACAUUGUUUCAUAUUUUGAGAGAUGAAGAAAAGGAUG